rnacentral:rRNA from 1 species
GAGUUUGAUCAUGGCUCAGAUUGAACGCUGGCGGAAUGCUUUACACAUGCAAGUCGAGCGGCAGCGCGGGGCAACCUGGCGGCGAGCGGCGAACGGGUGAGUAAUGCAUCGGAACAUGUCCAUGUCGUGGGGGAUAGCCCGGCGAAAGCCGGAUUAAUACCGCAUACGCCCGAGAGGGGAAAGUGGGGGACCGCAAGGCCUCACGCGAUUGGGUUGGCCGAUGUCCGAUUAGCUAGUUGGCGGGGUAAGAGCCCACCAAGGCGAUGAUCGGUAGCUGGUCUGAGAGGAUGAUCAGCCACACUGGGACUGAGACACGGCCCAGACUCCUACGGGAGGCAGCAGUGGGGAACUUUGGACAAUGGGGGAAACCCUGAUCCAGCCAUUCCGCGUGAGUGAAGAAGGCC